GGUGCCUUUUUCACUUAAUGGUUCUUGGGCAAAUUCUGACUGUUUAAAGGGGUUCCCGGCGCAAAAAAAAUUGGAGAACCUCUGUUCUAAAGCAUCUAAACCGUAAAUGCAGACUUUCGAAUAGUAAUGGCAAUGGCAUUGGUGUUAUAGUCGCCAUCCAGUAUCACUAAUUUAUCAAACACACCCGGCAGGGUACUAAAUUCUCUCUUCUC